UACAGAGGUCUCAAGCGUUGUUCGGAUUCAUUGGGCGUAAAGGGUGUGUAGGUGGCGCGCUAAGUCGGGUGUGAAAUUUCGGAGCUUAACUCCGAAACUGCAUUCGAUACUGGCGUGCUUGAGGACUGGAGAGGAGACUGGAAUUUACGGUGUAGCAGUGAAAUGCGUAGAUAUCGAUAAGGAAGACCAGUGGCGAAGGCGGGUUGCUGGGCCGACACUGACGCUGAUGCGCGAAAGCCAGGGGAGCGAACGGG
rnacentral:rRNA from 1 species